rnacentral:lncRNA from 1 species
GCACAUUGAGUAUGAUUUGACCCACACCCCAUACCCACCAGGGGUGGCUCAGCCUGGUACUCCAGGCUGGUGUGGGGUUUACCUCAUCAAGUCACGGAGCGGCAAUUCCCCUGGGCCUCCUCCCUCAAGUACGAGAGGAUUUGGGAGUAAUUUCUGCAACCCUGGGGUCUUUUCUGCAAUGUGCAUGAUCAAUCCUUUGUGAUAAUCUAUGUAAGCACAGACCUCCAAUAAAUCAUUGAGCCACAGGGAUUAGAAAAGAAAGGACCUAAACUUGAGUAGAGAUGAAGAAGCAGAAUGAAAGGAAGAAGGGCUGAGAAAGAAGAGGAACCCCACAUCGAUCUCAAGGUGUAUAAAAAUAAAAGCACUAUCCCCAUCUGGAAAUACUGAGUUCCAGGAAGACAGGGACCUAAUGUGUCUUGUUGACCACUGUACCCCAAGGACUGGCAUAUGGAGGAAAUGCUGGAAUAUGCUGCUGGUAAUGGGAAAUGGUCUCUGGUUUGCAGAUGGAUAAUCAAGUUGAAAGAAGGAAAGAAAACCUCUGCAUCAGGACACAGAGCAAGAUCUCUGAUUCUCCCGGGGUGCUGUUUAAUCCGUGGUCAGAAUGCUUAUAUGUCUUCCUUUAACAAUUACUUAAAACCAGUCAAGAUCAUUCUUGGCACUUUUUUGGUUGCUUUUUCCAGCUUUGAAAUAAAGUGCAAUUUGCAUUCCUUAAAAAUCUAAGCAGUGAGGAAGAGUUAAGUGUCUUAAAAUUAAUGAGUUGCAUUUAAACUUUUGUGUGAGCUCCAAGUCUGACAGAUUGGGCGGUCUUGGAAGUGAAAUUGUUAUUCAGAAAGGAUGUGUCCUUGGUGGUCCCUAGUCGAGGAAAGUCAGUGGGAAGAAAGAAAAUGAGGAAAACCAAUUACCGCAAUUUGUACACCAAGA